GACGAACGCUGGCGGGCGUGGAUUAGGCAUGCAAGUCAACGGUAGGAUACUUCCGGGUAUCUGAGAGUGGCGAACGGGUGAGUAACACGUAAGGUGAUCUACCCUCAAGAUUGGGACAACCCAGGGAAACUUGGGCUAAUACCGGAUGAAAGCAGCAGUGAUGUUGUUUGAAAGGUGGCGUAAGCUGCCGUUUGGGGAUGAGCCUGCGCUCUAUUAGUUAGUUGGCGGGGUAAAGGCCCACCAAGGCGAUGAUAGAUAGGCGGCCUUAACGGGUGGUCGCCCACACUGGGAUUGAGAUACGGCCCAGACUCCUACGGGAGGCAGCAGUCGAGAAUAGUCUACAAUGGCCGAAAAGGCUGAUAGUGCGACGCCGCGUGAACGAAGAAGCCCUUCGGGGUGUAAAGUUCUUUUAUAUGUGAGCAGUGCUUUCUAUGUGAACAGCAUGGGGAGAGAGAUAUUAGCAUAUGAAUAAGCAACGGCUAACUCCGUG
rnacentral:rRNA from 1 species